UUGACAAGAGGUAUUGAAUCUGUAGCUUCGAUUAACAACGAUACUCCAUCGUUUGUUUGGGUGUUUCUCAAUUAAAUAAUUACAAAGCAGGAUUUAUAACGGAGUUAGAAGAGGAAAAGUUGAGGUCAGAGUCAUGUAUAAAAAAUUAUCAUGACCACGUUAAUAUGCAUUGUAGCAUGGUAGAUUUACAAUCAAAAAAUAAUUUAACUGACACUUUCAAACUAUCAAUGGCCGGUACAUAUGUAUCGAAAAAAAGGAUAUUGGGUCUACUAGCAAGGUUGAAAAGGCAAAAAAUUUCAAAUAUUCUCAAUCCAAAGGGGGGAGUAAUGAUGUUGUGAUCAUUCCAAGAUAUUUUUAUAUAUUCACUAAUCCAUUCUCAUACAUGCUAAUUAUUUUGAAGUAUAUAUGUAUAGAAAUACAUUUUUAACAUAUUAUACAUUUUAAGGAGGAUAUAAUGUAUUUACAUAUAUAAAUUUUUAACAUAAUAUACAUUUAAAAAGUAUUUAUACUAUAUCUGAAGUUAGUAUAUAGAUAUAUACAUUUUUAACAUAAUAUACAUUUCUGUGUGAAAUUAGUAUAUACUUCUUUUCUGAAGCUAAUAUAUGCAUAUAUACAUUUAUAAAUUGCAUAUAAGGAAAAAAAUUAUGUGUUUGUAUAUAUAUGUGUGUGUGUGUGCAUGAUUGUGUGUGUGCGCGUAUGUGUAUGUUUUAAGAUAUAGAAUUUAUUUGUAUAAAUUAAGUUGGUUAUUUUGUUUGUAUAGAUUGUAAAAUCUGUUUUUGCUUUUUAUACACUUCUACUAAAAAGAUAGAUUUCUAUCAUUGUCUAAAUUUUUAUUAGACAUUUGUGAUAUUUUGAUUUAAUAGGAUAGUAAGUUUGUCAUCAUUGAUCUUCCUAAGAAGUCCCCACAAAUGGAGUGUUACAAGGAGAGACAAAUAUUUGAUACUUUAAAAUAAAAGCUAUUAAGUGAACAACUUAAAAGAUUUGUGCAUACAUGCUUUGGUCAAUACAUCUCCAUGUUAGAUCUAUAGGUUCAAUCGUAAAUAUUUUGGUGCGCUAUGUCCCUUUAGUUGAAAAUCAAUUUUAAGAAUGUUCUCAUGAUGUGAUUUAAUGAGUACACAUUAAGGUUUACAUUAAGAAAAUUUGCAAUUGUAUCUGAUCUAAACUGUGUUGCUUCUAAAUUCGAUUUUGUAUUCAACACAAGUAUGCCAAAUAGAUUACUUCAGAUAUAUUUUGAUGGUAAAGAAGAACCUUAUAAAGUAA
rnacentral:lncRNA from 1 species